rnacentral:rRNA from 1 species
AACACAUGCAAGUCGAACGGAGAAUUUUGGUUACUGAGAAUUCUUAGUGGCGGACGGGUGAGUAACACGUGAGCAACCUGCCUCUGAGAGAGGGAUAGCUUCUGGAAACGGAUGGUAAUACCUCAUAACAUAACGAAGCCGCAUGACUUUGUUAUCAAAGAUUUAUCACUCAGAGAUGGGCUCGCGUCUGAUUAGAUAGUUGGUGAGGUAACGGCUCACCAAGUCGACGAUCAGUAGCCGGACUGAGAGGUUGAACGGCCACAUUGGGACUGAGACACGGCCCAGACCCCUACGGGAGGCAGCAGUGGGGAAUAUUGCACAAUGGGGGAAACCCUGAUGCAGCGAUGCCGCGUGGAGGAAGAAGGUUUUCGGAUUGUAAACUCCUGUCUUAAAGGACGAUAAUGACGGUACUUUAGGAGGAAGCUCCGGCUAACUACGUGCCAGCAGCUGC